UACAGAGGUCUCAAGCGUUGUUCGGAUUCAUUGGGCGUAAAAGGUGCGUAGGCGGCGCGGUAAGUCGGGUGUGAAAUCUUGGAGCUUAACUCCGAAACUGCAUUCGAUACUGCCGUGCUUGAGGACUGGAGAGGAGACUGGAAUUUACGGUGUAGCGGUGAAAUGCGUAGAUAUCGUAAGGAAGACCAGUGGCGAAGGCGGGUCUCUGG
rnacentral:rRNA from 1 species